UAAUGCAUCUCUAAUCUCUUUUGAUGUAUUUUUUCCAGAAUUUAUUUCCUGCAUUGACUAAGAUCGCCUGGACUCUCGAUCCUACAUCCCGAUCCGUCAAAACUCUCUGCAGUUGUCUUAAAUCGGAGAUUUCAAGUACACUUGCUAACGUGAUUCGUGUUUUCCUCACUGAUAUUUCUCCAUGGGUGAGGCUGAUGAUCUGAAAAUUGCUGUGAAGAGCACUAAGAAGCUUUGUAUUGUUAUGAUUGAUAACGUGGGAUGAGUUGCAAGUUAUCAACAACUCUGAGAAAGCUAUUACUCUUCUAUAGUCUUUCCCAUUAUUUAAUGUGCUUGCCACUGUUCGGUCACUUUGAGAAUGAGAUGAUAUCAUAUAUCUAAUCAAUGGUGUAUUGAGUUUCCUUAUAGUUCCUGUUUGAUGUGUUCAGGCAGUGAAAAAAGCAGAUGCUAUCUUUGUUGGGCAAUACAUAUUCACUGGUACUGAAACAACUUCAGUUUUGCUUGAGCAAUUCCAUGACCACAUUGAACUCUGUCAUGACCACAGUCAUGGAGACUGAGGAUGAAGAAAUCUCUUAGAUCACAAAUCGUUCUGCUGUUCAUCUGGAGAUGGGGCAGAUCAUGAUACGGGAUGGUGAUGAAGCUGCAGCUCAGGAGGAUGAGAUGGUCAGGAACGAGCCUGAGGUAGAGAAGAAAAUGGAACUCGAGCCGGAGUUUGAAAAACAGAAGGAGAAGAAGCAGUUACAAGGAGAGAGAGAUACGGAAACAGCAAGAGGUGAGCGGUUAAAGAGCGAGGCUGCUGAGGCAUAGAGGAAGCGCAUAGAAGAAUAAGAAAGAGGGUCGGGAGAGCGAAGAGCGUGAACUUGCAGAGAGCUCUGCUCGACUGAGAAUGAGCCAAGAGAAAUUACUUCCUCUUGACAGAACUGAGAAAGGACCUGAUGCUACAAGAGUCAGAAGAUGUUAGUUGAUUCUUUGUCGAUGCUAGAUGAAUUCUUUGGAAAAAAAUUUGAAUCAGCAUAAACAUUAUGCAUUACAUUAUACAUAGAUGAAUUAAAAAACCUGUUUUAUUUUGUGUCUCAAACAUUUGGUGGAAAUAUAAUGAUCAUGUUUUGAAACUAUUAAAUACGAACCAAAUGUGAUGUGUUAUUCCGGUGUGUAUAUAGGAUCCUGACCACUCCAAUUAUUGAGAAAUGAAGCUGGCCAAAAAUAUCUCAAUUCCAUUUCUGUUAAGUUUUUACCCUUCACUGAAUAAUGUAGUUGUCUUGCAACUUUUUAAUUAAUCAGUUCUGGUCUUUUUUUGUUGAAAUAUAAUUGGUAUACCUGGUAAUUUUAGUAUUUACGUUGUGGCUAUGAAACUUUUUUGUUAUCCAGAUUUUUGGUUCCGUAUUGUUUUAUUGUUUUGGUAUUAUUUUGGAAAGAGUCAAAAUUUAUAUAGCAACAAUAAACACCAAUAAAAAGCUCAACCAUAAUUUUAAUAUUGAUAUGAAACUAAAAAUAUAUAUAUACUUGCAUAGUCCAACAAAAGACAUAAUGUACAAUAACCCGAUAACAAACAAAAAAUGACAGAAAUUAAAUUAAAUAACUUAUACUAACACAAACAUAAUUUUAAUAUUGAUAUGAAACUAAAAAUAUAUAUACAUGCAUAGUCCAACCAAAGACAUAAUGUACAAUAACCCGAUAACAAACCAAAAAUGACAGAAAUAAAAUUAAAUAACUUAUA